rnacentral:rRNA from 1 species
AGCAGCCGCGGUAAUUCCAGCUCCAAUAGCGUAUAUUAAAGUUGUUGCAGUUAAAAAGCUCGUAGUUGAAUUUCGGGAUCAAUACGUCGGUCGUGCUUCGGUACGUACUGGCGUCAUUGAUUUCUCCCUUCUGACGAACCAUGAUGUCAUUAACUUGGUGUCAUGGGAAAUCAGGACUGUUACUUUGAAAAAAUUAGAGUGUUUAAAGCAGGCUCACGCUUGAAUACAUUAGCAUGGAAUAAUGAAAUAGGACGUUCGAACCUAUUUUGUUGGUUUCUAGGAUCAACGUAAUGAUUAAUAGGGAUAGUUGGGGCAUUAGUAUUCAAUUGUCAGAGGUGAAAUUCUUGGAUUUAUUGAAGACUAACUACUGCGAAAGCAUUUGCCAAGGAUGUUUUCAUUAAUCAAGAACGAAAGUUGGGAUCGAAGACGAUCAGAUACCGUCGUAGUCUUAACCAUAAACUAUGCCGACUAGGGAUCGGAUGAUGUUAAUUAUUUAAUGUACUNAUUCGGCGUACCG